rnacentral:rRNA from 1 species
UACAGAGGUCUCAAGCGUUGUUCGGAUUCAUUGGGCGUAAAGGGUGCGUAGGUGGCACCAUAAGUUAGGUGUGAAAUCUCGGGGCUCAACUCCGAAACUGCACUUGAUACUGUGGUGCUCGAGUACUGGAGAGGAGAUUGGAAUUUACGGUGUAGCAGUGAAAUGCGUAGAUAUCGUAAGGGAGACCAGUGGCGAAGGCGAGUCUCUGGACAGUUACCGACGCUGAGGCACGAAGGUCAGGGGAGCAAACGGG